GACGAACGCUGGCGGCGUGCUUAACACAUGCAAGUCGAGCGGUAAGGCCCUUUCGGGGUACGACGAGCGGCGAACGGGUGAGUAACACGUGGGUGACCUGCCCUCAGCUCUGGGAGUAAGCCUGGGAAACCGGGUCGUAAUACUGGAUAUGACUCCAUGACGCAUGUUGUGGGGUGGAAAGCCUUGUGCGGCUGAGGAUGGGCCCGCGGCCUAUCAGCUUGUUGGUGGGGUGANGGCCUACCAAGGCGACGACGGGUAGCCGGCCU
rnacentral:rRNA from 1 species